AAAAAAAUCUGUAAAAUAACAGUUAAAUGACUGUAUAUUUUAACAGAUUUUUUCCGUAUACACGUAUUACGGGUGUUUUUCCGUUUAUAUACAUUUUCAAAUUGCAUUGUGGGAAGGGGAUCGCAGCUCAGGCAGCGUUUGAUGGACAUCGGGACAUAUUUCUUCCUCUGUUUUUUACCUGGUAAGUACGAUUAAUAAAACAUAUAACAAUAUUUUAGUUAAAAGACUGCUUUAUUACCUUUUUAUCGUUAUUUAAAAUGAUUUUGUCUUGUAUGAAGUGCCCAUGGAAAGUACAGCAGUGAAUUACGUUUAAUAUUGUUAAUAAGAUCAGACUUUAUUUCAUUAAGAUCAAACUGAGCUAUGAGUGGUUAAAUGUAAUUUAAACAAGCAUUUACCUAAUGAUUUUUUACCUUUUUAUGCGUUUUCCUCAUCAGUAAAUAUGGUAUCUGUUCAUUUACAGUUGUUUGUCCGUAUUUUUCUAAACUGCCGUGCGCGGGAAGUGACGUGACGUCCCAAUCACCCACUCACUCUCUCUGCUCUGCACCUGCGUGAGUCUGACUGGAUUAACGGUGUGUUGGUGUAAAAAUUGAUGCUGACUGAACUCAGGCAGUUGUGCUGGACCUUCUGUACUUUAUACAGGAGAUGACAGUAAACUUUCAAGUUUAAGAGGUGUGUUGGUGUAAAAAGUGAUGCUGACUGAACUCAUGCAGUUGUGUUGGACCCUCUGUACCUUAUACAGGAGAUGACGGUAAACUUUGAAGUUUAAGAGGUUCUGUAAUUUUGGAUAUAAGUACAAGGUGUGUUGGUGUAAAAAUUGAUGCUGACUGAACUCGGGCAGUUGUGCUGGACCAUCUGUACUUAGUACAGGGGAUGACAGUAAACUUUCAAGCUUAAGAGCCACCUGAUGAUGAGAGAGACAAUUUCAAUGUGGGCAUCUUGAUGAAGAAGAGUCCACAGUCACAAUAACAAGAUCAUUGGGCUGUCCCCUAAUUGUGGUGAGCUACAUGUUUAGUCUCUUAUGUGCUAAACAUUAUGUAGCCUAAGGAAGCAGCCCUGACUCUGGAGUUUAUAUGAAGGAGCAUGCUGAGUAACUAUCCAGAAUCUAGGUCCAAAGCAGAAAAAAAGAGCACCAAGCAGAAACAUACCAUCUAAACUCCUUCGAUUCCUGUCAGACCAGAAAGACUUUCAGAAUCCUUGGAAGAUUUAAAGCCAUUGAAGUAUCAGUAUUGGAGCGGAAGAAGACCCAGUUGUAUCGUCUGUUUCCUGCCAUCUUGCAGUUUAACCUGGUUUCUUAAUGUAAAGUACUUGUAAUUUGCCCACUUGUCCUCAAUUAUCUUAAAGCUAACAUUUAAAACUAAUUUGCUAUGAGAUUAUUUGCCAAGACCUCUCACUGUGUGAUUCACAUGUCAAUAUGUAUUAUUGUGUGUAUAACUAGCUAUUUGGAAUUCAAAUGAUUUGUAUUCAUUAAAGAAUCUGUUU